UUAGUUUCCAAAAAUUUUCAAGAUUCCCCGUCACAUCGAAUCUUUAUACACAUGCAUGAAGCAUUAAAUGUAGAUGAAAAUAAAAACUAAUUGCACAGUUUAUCUGUAAUUUGCGAGACGAAUCUUUUGAGCCUAGUUACUCCAUAAUUGGAUAAUAAUUGUCACAAACAAACGAAAGUGCUACAGUAGCCAAAACCAAAAAUUUUCGCGAACUGAACAAGGCCU
rnacentral:lncRNA from 1 species